rnacentral:rRNA from 1 species
AUCAAAAACAUCGCCUCCUGCAGAAAAUUAAGUAUAGGAGGUCCAGCCUGCCCAGUGACUACGGGUUCAACGGCCGCGGUAUUUUGACCGUGCAAAGGUAGCGCAAUCACUUGUCUUUUAAAUAGAGACCUGUAUGAAUGGCUAAACGAGGGCUUAACUGUCUCCCCCUUCAAGUCAGUGAAAUUGAUCUAUCCGUGCAGAAAGCGGGUAUAAAUAUACAAGACGAGAAGACCCUUUGGAGCUUAAGGUAUAAAAUUUUAACCACGUCAAACAACUUAAUAAAAAGCAAAAACUUAGUGGAAAAUAAAACUUUACCUUCGGUUGGGGCGACCACGGAGAAAAAAAGAGCCUCCGAGUGGAUUGGGCUAAAUCCCCUAAAACUAAGAAAAACAUUUCUAAGUCACAGAAUAUCUGACCAAAAAUGAUCCGGCCAAAUAAGCCGAUCAACGAACCAAGUUACCCUAGGGAUAACAGCGCAAUCCUCUCCCAGAGUCCAUAUCGACGAGGGGGUUUACGACCUCGAUGUUGGAUCAGGACAUCCUAAUGGUGCAGCCGCUAUUAAGGGUUCGUUUGUUCAACGAUUAAAGUCCUACGUGAUCUG